rnacentral:rRNA from 1 species
UACGAAGGGGGCUAGCGUUGUUCGGAAUCACUGGGCGUAAAGGGCGCGUAGGCGGCUUUAUAAGUCGGGGGUGAAAGCCUGUGGCUCAACCACAGAAUUGCCUUCGAUACUGUAGAGCUUGAGUCCGGAAGAGGUGAGUGGAACUCCUAGUGUAGAGGUGGAAUUCGUAGAUAUUAGGAAGAACACCAGUGGCGAAGGCGGCUCACUGGUCCGGUACUGACGCUGAGGUGCGAAAGCGUGGGGAGCAAACAGG